AUCUUUGUUAAAUAAAGAAGAACGACAAAAAUACCCUCAAAGACCAAAAUAUAAAAUUAUGCAAAUUUCCAAAAUUAUUUUGACUAAAAUAACUUUUAUGAAUCAUAUGAUAAAAAUCUUUGAAAAUGUUAUCUAGAAGAUUUUCAAUUUCGAAAAGCAAAAAGGUGAUGUGAUAAGUCAAAGUCACUAUAUAUCAUACCACCACAUUGGUAUAAAUGCAUAAAGUGAAAUGCACCACAAGUAGCAAUCCCAUUUCUAUAUCAUGAUUCAU
rnacentral:lncRNA from 1 species